rnacentral:rRNA from 1 species
CCGACAGGCGUAGUCGAUGGGUAACCAGUUGAUAUUCUGGUACCGGCUUGUCACCGUCCGUGUCGAGGUGUGUGAUGCUAAGCAUGUGAGCUUGUCUUGGGAGUGUUUUUGAUGCUUCUGGGGUGGGUGAGUGUGUGAACCGAUCAUGUAGUAGGCAAGCUGCGGAGGGACGCAGUGAGGUAGCUCAUCCCCGGUGAUGGUUGUCCGGGGCUAAGUGUGUGGACUGUCUGGUAGGUAAAUCCGCUGGGCGUGAAGGUUGAGGCAUGAUGGGGAGCCCACGGUUGUGGGUGAGUGAGUGAUCCUGUACUGUCGAGAAAAGCUUCGUGAGCGAGGUGGCGGGUCCGCCCGUACCCUAAACCGACACUGGUGGAUAGGUAGAGUAUACCGAGGCGAUCGAGUGAAUCGUGGUGAAGGAACUCGGCAAAAUGCCCCCGUAACUUUGGGAUAAGGGGGACCUGAGCUGUCGUGCACCCGUGCGGUGUGGUGGCGGUGAGGGGCGCAGAGUCCAGGGGGAAACGACUGUUUACCAAAAACACAGGUCCGUGCGAAGUCGUAAGACGAUGUAUACGGACUGACUCCUGCCCGGUGCUGGAAGGUUAAGGG